rnacentral:rRNA from 1 species
CCUACGGGAGGCAGCAGUGGGGAAUAUUGCACAAUGGGGGAAACCCUGAUGCAGCGACGCCGCGUGAGUGAAGAAGUAAUUCGUUAUGUAAAGCUCUAUCAGCAGGGAAGAAAAUGACGGUACCUGAGUAAGAAGCCCCGGCUAACUACGUGCCAGCAGCCGCGGUAAUACGUAGGGGGCAAGCGUUAUCCGGAUUUACUGGGUGUAAAGGGAGCGUAGACGGCAGUGCAAGUCUGGAGUGAAAGGCGGGGGCUCAACCCCCGGACUGCUCUGGAAACUGUACGGCUGGAGUGCAGGAGAGGUAAGUGGAAUUCCUAGUGUAGCGGUGAAAUGCGUAGAUAUUAGGAGGAACACCAGUGGCGAAGGCGGCUUACUGGACUGAAACUGACGCUGAGGCACGAAAGCGUGGGGAGCGAACAGGAUUAGAUACCCGUGUAGUC